rnacentral:rRNA from 3 species
UGAGACAGGUGCUGCAUGGCUGUCGUCAGCUCGUGUUGUGAAAUGUUGGGUUAAGUCCCGCAACGAGCGCAACCCUUAUCCUUUGUUGCCAGCGGUUCGGCCGGGAACUCAAAGGAGACUGCCAGUGAUAAACUGGAGGAAGGUGGGGAUGACGUCAAGUCAUCAUGGCCCUUACGAGUAGGGCUACACACGUGCUACAAUGGCAUAUACAAAGAGAAGCGACCUCGCGAGAGCAAGCGGACCUCAUAAAGUAUGUCGUAGUCCGGAUUGGAGUCUGCAACUCGACUCCAUGAAGUCGGAAUCGCUAGUAAUCGUAGAUCAGAAUGCUACGGUGAAUACGUUCCCGGGCCUUGUACACACCGCCCGUCACACCAUGGGAGUGGGUUGCAAAAGAAGUAGGUAGCUUAACCUUCGGGAGGGCGCUUACCACUUUGUGAUUCAUGACUGGGGUGAAGUCGUAACAAGGUAACCGUAGGGGAACCUGCGGUUGGAUCACCUCCUUACCUUAAAGAA